UCGAUCAUUAAUUUAAAACUCGGUGAUUACUUUUUCUCCCAGAUAACUUUUACAUUGAGAUGAUUCAUUCAUCUAUAGUUGUUAGGAUAAAGAACCUUAUUUUAUAAGAAACAUUGUUUAAUGUUUAUUUCUCUUUUUAGGCAUCAUUCUUAACAAAGAAGUUAAAUAUUGGUGGGAAAAGAGUAAACCUUGCCAUAUGGGAUACGGCAGGUCAAGAGAGAUUCCAUGCAUUGGGUCCAAUUUACUACAGAGAUUCAAAUGGAGCGAUUUUAGUUUAUGACAUAACAGAUGAAGAUUCUUUUCAGAAGGUAUUCUAUUCAUGGGUAGAUGUCUUAGAAGAACAAUAGUAAUUUUUCAAGUUUCCAUUAAUAUACCUUUAUUCACUAAUGUGAUUAGUUUUCUUUUUAAAAAUAAAGUAUAUAAUUUGUGCAUAACUGGUGACCACUUACAUUUUAUUUUUCUUUUCACCUACAACAUGGUGGUGUACUCAUAUGUUUAAUGAAAUAUUUGAUUCAUAUGAAUUAAUUUACGUUAGAAUAAUUAAUGCCUUAUUACAUGGCUUUCUCAAAUAUUAGGGAAGGGAAAUAUUUGAAAUUGAGCUUCAGAAAAAUAUGGGGGCUUUUGUUUUUCCCUCUUAAGGAAAAAUCACACAUAUUUCCUUAAUUCCAUACGCAUUGGGCUCUUAAACUUGGUGUGGCUGGACGGGUUCCUUUAUUGUGAAGAGGAAAAAGGAGGAACAACAUCACAUUUAAGCUUUCUCCUUGCCAAAUAUAAUAAAAGUUUUAAAAGGACAGUCUUAAAGUUAUCUCAUUAGUUUACUUCCCUUCAAAAACACACCACAUACGUAUGACUCUUAAAGUUGUUUGGGACCAAAAAUGAGUUACCAUUUAAUUACCUCUGAAUUUUCAUCACAAUCAGAUGGGUUACUUAUUUGACCUUUUCUCCUAAAGCUCUUCUUGGAAUAUGUCAACAAUGUGUAACUACAGGGAAUAAUGCCAAGGAAGAAGCUUUUCUUGCCUUGAGUUACAGGCUUGUUCUUGGUAAAAUUACUUACCUUGUUUGUUUUGUUUUUUCUCUUUAUUUUUUUUCCCAGUUAAAUCUGAUAGAGCAGAUAUACAAGUUAGCCCUUGGGUUAUUAAUGAUAAAUGGAAAAACUUAAUCCAAAAGUAGAAAAUGAAACGAUAGGUACCUUGUAGAUUUAAUGAUUUUUAAAAGUUAUUUUGGUGCUGCUGUUUGUUAUCUCCCUCUCGCGUUUUGCAUGAAAAGACAUAGUUUAAGUAUUUUAUUAAGAGAAGAUUGAGGCCAGGCACAGUGGCUCACGCCUGUAAUCCCAGCACUUUGGGAGGUCGAGGACAGCGGGUCACUUGAGGUCGGGAGUUAGAGACCAGCCCAGCCAACAUGGUGAACUCCCAUCUCUACUAAAAAUACAAAAAAAUUAGCUGGGUUUGGUGGCACAUGCCUAUAAUCUUAGCUACUUGGGAAGCUGAGGCAGGAGACUUGCUUAAACUGGGGAGGCAGAGGUUGCAGUGAGCCUAGAUCGCGCCACUGGACUCCAGCCUGGGUGACAGAGUGAGACUCCAUCUC
rnacentral:lncRNA from 1 species